rnacentral:misc_RNA from 1 species
UAAUAAGUGUUUUAUGGCACUUUUUAAAUCCAUAUCCACCUUGUGUGCAAUGUCAGUCGAUCUUCUGCAUGGAGAUCGACCAAACAUCAACCUUUAUCUUUUAACUCUUUGUCUGAAAAAUAUUAUGAAUAAACAAUUCAAAAUA